GAUUAAUGAACGGUAGACGCGCGAGAGAUGCUUAGUGUUAUUCGUUUGCAUUUGCUCAUGUUGCAGAAAAAUAUCUGAGUGACUCUUGGAUAUCCAUAAUACUUAAGAGAUGAUUUAACAGUGGAGCAACUUGAGGUUUUAUACGCAAACAGCAAACGCCGUCACAAGUCACAUAGCGAUUAAAUUCAUGUUAAGUUUGGAUUUCCAGAUUUUUAUAGUGAUUGAUCUUAUUACAGUGCUUUUUAUAGUGUUUUUAUUAGCUGACGCUGAAAAGGGUGCAAUCAGUGUAGGGAUGCUUAUUUCUUCAGUUGCUACGUUAGCAAAUUGCUUCAAAGCUCUUAGAAAUCCACAAAUGAUAAAUAAAAAAAAUAAGUCGUGUGUAUUUAUGUGCUUUUGCCGUUUGCAGGACGAAGUUUGCCUGAAAAUACUCGGACUUCCAAGAAGAUUUCUAAAACGAUCGUACGGCAGCACAAUCGCGCAACAUUCUUC